rnacentral:rRNA from 1 species
CCUACGGGGGGCUGCAGUAACGAAUCUUCCGCAAUGCACGAAAGUGUGACGGAGCGACGCCGCGUGUAGGACGAAGCCCUUCGGGGUGUAAACUACUGUCAGGGGAAAGAAAGUUCUGAUCUACCCCAGAGGAAGGGACGGCUAACUCUGUGCCAGCAGCCGCGGUAAGACAGAGGUCCCGAGCGUUAGGCGGAAUCACUGGGCUUAAAGCGUGUGUAGGCGGAUGCCUAAGUACCUUGUGAAAUCCCACGGCUCACCCGUGGAACUGCUUGGUAUACUGGGUGUCUUGAGCCACUUAGGGGCUACCGGAACAAAUGGUGGAGCGGUGAAAUGCGUAGAUAUCAUUUGGAACGCCAAUGGUGAAAACAGGUAGCUGGGAGUGUGCUGACGCUGAGACACGAAAGCCAGGGGAGCAAACGGGAUUAGAUACCCUUGUAGUC